AGCCAGCAGCAUAUAUGACUAUAUGAGAAACAUUAUAAAUAUGUAUAUUAUAUAUAAAAAAAACAUCAAAGCACACAAAAAACCAAACAGAUACCGAAGAGCAAAGCAAAGCAGUGGUGAGUGGUGGUGGGGUGAGUAAAAGGUGCAGACUCCCAAGUCUCUCAGAAGUGAUGAAAUAAAAAAAUAUACGAAGGUUCCAGGGAUCAAGGGUCAAGCUCAUGUGCCUUCAGACCCACAAGACGAGGAAAAUCCAACAAGCAGCAAAAGUUGGUGCAAUGAGAGCUGCUGGAGAAGGUGGAACAAGAAAAGGAAGCAGAAAUGGUCGUAGACAAGCUAGAAGCAUUGCGAUUUUCAUCUUCUGUGUCGUUUUAAUAUUUGCUCAAACGAGUAAUUUGAUGGUUUUUGCCAGUACUCCUACUACUAGUACCAGUCACGACAAUGAGUGGACCGGUCGGAUAAUGAGGUCAUCGCCGCAGAGGAAAGCACGAUUUUUGGGCAAGGUAUCGUUUUACGCACCUUCGAGUAGUCCAUCUCACCAUGUUCAUCGUCUUCCGGCGAUCAACGGUGACCCAGGCAAGCUAUACGGAGAUGACAAGAGAAUAGUUCAUACAGGUCCAAACCCUCUUCACAACUAACUAAUAUCGAACUCAAUUAAUGUUCUGAUUUCGAUAUCAGUGGUUGUGAUUAGGGUUUACUAUGUCACUGCACGGCCGCUUCCGCUGUUUCUCCUGUGUAUUCCAGUACGUACUACUGCUAGCUUAGCUACAGUUAGCUAGCUAGAAUUUUCAAGUGAAAUAUGACUGUAACAUCUUUAUGUCAUCAGUUUUUCUUUUCUUUUAUUUUUGUUGUUUUUGAGGUAGAAAGAAUGAGAGCAUGGCUUUAGCCUUUUCCAGUAGGGUUUGACGAUUAGGGUUACGGGCAGAGGAGCAAAUGCAGAGACUAGUAAGAGGAAGGAAAAAAAUUGGAAAGGCUAGUUAAUGCUCUUGUUUUCUUUUUGCAGUGACUCAUAAAAUUGCUCUUACUUACCCUUUCUCUCUGUAUGUUUAGAAUUUUUUUUUAA